rnacentral:rRNA from 1 species
UUCCCCUAGUAACGGCGAGUGAAGAGGGAAGAGCCCAAGAUUGAAAGCUGGCGUCUUCGGCGUCCGCAUUGUAAUCUCAAGAAGUGUUUUCCGCUUCGGACCAAGCCUAAGUCCCCUGGAAAGGGGCAUCAUAGAGGGUGAUAAUCCCGUACAUGGCUUGGAGCGCCCGUAGCUUUGUGAUACACUUUCUAAGAGUCGAGUUGUUUGGGAAUGCAGCUCAAAAUGGGUGGUAAAUGCCAUCUAAGGCUAAAUAUUGGGGAGAGACCGAUAGCGAACAAGUACUGUGAUGGAAAGAUGAAAAGAACUUUGAAAAGAGAGUUAAACAGUACGUGAAAUUGCCAAAAGGGAAGGGUAGGAGGUCAGAGAUGCGGCCUAGGAUUCAGCCUUGCUUUUGCUUGGUGUUUUUCCUAGAUUGCAGGCCAACGUCGGUUUUGGGCACUGGAGAAGG